rnacentral:lncRNA from 13 species
GGCAAUGCUACCAAAUACUAAUUGAGUGUAUGUACACUUCUGACCCACUGGGAAUGUGAUGAAAGAAAUAAAAGCUGAAAAAAAUCAUUCUCUCUACUAUUAUUCUGACAUUUCACAUUCUUAAAAUAAAGUGGUGAUCCUAACUGACCUAAGACAGGGAAUUAUUACUAGGAUUAAAUGUCAGGAAUUGUGAAUAACUGAGUUUAAAUGUAUUUGGCUAAGGUGUAUGUAAACUUCUGACUUCAACUGUAUGUGUUUGGGAUUUUCGUGCUAUACUUUAAAUGUCUUUACUCUUUGAGGGUAUUCUCUUUCCUUUAAAGCAGGGAUAGGCAACUCCAAAACACAGCUGAUUAAACCAAUUAUUGGAGUCAGGUGUUAGCUGGGGCAAAAGCACAACACCAGUCAGGCCUUGGAGGACUGGAGGACUUGGUUGCCCUUCCCUGUUCUAGAGGAACACUUCUCCAUGUUCAUUCAGCUUUUUCCACCCUGUAUAGGCAUAUUUGUGUGUGUUUUUUCUGUAUAUUAUAGUGUGUAUGUGUUCUGUCACCUCCACAGGAGCGUGUGGUAGGUCUCCAUUUGAUGGGGCCCAGUGCAGGGGAGGUGAUCCAGGGCUUUGCUGUGGCUCUGAGGUGUGGUCUGAUCAAAUAGCAGCUGGACACCACUGUAGGACACCACUGUGGGACUCCACUCUGUUUGUGCCCAGGUGUUGACCAAACUGACAGUAACUCAGUGUGCCACUGACACCAUGAUGGUCAGAGGGAACUGCUGAGGUUAGCCCCCUGCUGUCAAUCACUGUUGUCCAAGGCAACGGUACAGAUAGCAGGGAGAAGCCAGUCAGAACAUCCUCAUUGUUGUGUGACGGGCAGCUAUCAGCCGUCUAAUGACCUCUGAGACCGGAGCCUGAUUGACAGGUGGGCGGGGACUGACACUGUUGCUGCUGGCCCUAGACACUGGGGUCACUUCCUGUUUACAUGUUUUUUUCUUCUCUUUUAAACUCUUUCUUUUGCCAUAUUAAUGAACCAAACUUUGAUAUUAACCUGCGAGGGCACCUCUGACACUUUUCAACUGUGAACUCUGCAGUCCUUAUGAAUACUCAUUAGUCUGUGACUGUACUGACUCAGUUUAAUGGCUGCUGAGUAGCGAUAAAGCCCUGAUUGAGCAUUUAAAUACUGUAGAAACACAGUUCAUGCUUUUAUGCAGGGUUCUGUAGCUACGGGCUGAAGGGAUUUAAGUGCCAUAAUGUAAUGUAAUGAACAGAUCGAGAUUAAACUAUUAUCAGAAUGAAGAAAUAUUCAUUAAUAAAAUGCUCUUACUUUUAAUUAAAGUAAGUGGUUCAUAUGGGAUACAUUAACCUAAGACUACAAUCUCUCUGUCUUUUUCUCUCUCUCUCUCUCACUAUCUCCAUUUGUCAUUCUCUCUGUCUCAGUUCUGCAGGACAUAGUGACUGACUUAAACACUGUGAUGAAUAUUCACAGGGAUCAUUACUAAGGUCUCUCAUACUAAUGGGAGGAGAGACAGGGGCAAAAGGCUACAACACCUAGAAUGAUAUAGAACCCCCCCC